rnacentral:lncRNA from 1 species
CUUGGAAAAGCGCUCAGGGAAAAAAAUGCGCUCGCGGAUGUUUGAUUUUUGAUUUGAUUUGAUGUUUGAUUUAUGGCAGUAUUCUAUGCCCAUACUCCUUCCUCUUUCUGUGAGGAUCCAGACUGAUGUGAAAUGAAAUCCCACACUGAGGGAUUUGUGCUGAGUUUCCUAAAGUACAACCUGAUUUAUAUGACUUGAACCAAAUAAGAUGUAUUAAUGUAUGUAAGUACCACUUCAUAUAUACAAAUGAGUAUUCUUCUAUUUUUGAUUCUUCCUGCAGGUGUAGAACGAGUCCCUGUACCUACAGAUGCAUUCUACAUGGUAGAAUGUCCAGGUGGAUCAAACCCAAAUGAUCCCACAUAUUACACCAUCCCCGACCUUCAACCAAUGAAAAAGGCGACCGAAACUUCUGGACCUGAUGAGUCCCUGUACUCUGAGAUCUGCGAGACUUUCAUCGGUGGAAAUAAUAAUAAAGGUAACUUUAAGCUUCAGCUCCCCUGUGAAGUUUAUAACAUGAGAUGCUAAACGAGGCCGAUUGUAUUUUUUGUUAUUCCAAAUAAAGCAAAAUAAAACGAGAGAACGAACAAAGUGGAAAUCUACAAAAACUACC